CAGUCGCCGCGGGAAUACGUAGGUGGCAAGCGCUGUCCGGAAUUAUUGGGCGUAAAGGGCUCGCAGGCGGUUUCUUAAGUCUGAUGUGAAAGCCCCCGGCUCAACCGGGGAGGGUCAUUGGAAACUGGGAAACUUGAGUGCAGAAGAGGAGAGUGGAAUUCCACGUGUAGCGGUGAAAUGCGUAGAGAUGUGGAGGAACACCAGUGGCGAAGGCGACUCUCUGGUCUGUAACUGACGCUGAGGAGCGAAAGCUAGGGGAGCAAACGGGAUUAGAGACCCCUGUAGUCCCUGUCUCUUAUAC
rnacentral:rRNA from 1 species